rnacentral:rRNA from 1 species
AAACUUAAGAGUUUGAUUCUGGCUCAGGAUGAACGCUGGCGGCGUGCUUAACACAUGCAAGUCGAAUGUAGCAAUACAUGGCGGACGGGUGAGUAACGCGUGAGCAACCUGCCCAUAUCUGGGGGAUAACAGUUGGAAACGACUGAUAAUACCGCAUAAUAUCACCGGAAGGCAUCUUCUGGUGAUCAAAGAUUUAUCGGAUAUGGAUGGGCUCGCGUCUGAUUAGCUUGUUGGUGAGGUAACGGCUCACCAAGGCGACGAUCAGUAGCCGACCUGAGAGGGUGAUCGGCCACAUUGGAACUGAGACACGGUCCAAACUCCUACGGGAGGCA